UACGUAGGGCGCAAGCGUUAUCCGGAAUUAUUGGGCGUAAAGAGCUCGUAGGCGGUUUGUCGCGUCUGCCGUGAAAGUCCGGGGCUCAACUCCGGAUCUGCGGUGGGUACGGGCAGACUAGAGUGAUGUAGGGGAGACUGGAAUUCCUGGUGUAGCGGUGAAAUGCGCAGAUAUCAGGAGGAACACCGGUGGCGAAGGCGGUGAUCUGGGCCAGUACUGACGCUGAGGAGCGAAAGCGUGGGGAGCAAACAGG
rnacentral:rRNA from 1 species